UAUUCAGCAUUUCACUGUAAGGUCUACUACACCUGUUGUAUUCAGCAUUUCACUGUAAGGUCUACUACACCUGUUGUAUUCAGCAUUUCACUGUAAGGUCUACUACACCUGUUGUAUUCAGCAUUUCACUGUAAGGUCUACUACACCUGUUGUAUUCAGCAUUUCACUGUAAGGUCUACUCCACCUGUUGUAUUCAGCAUUUCACUGUAAGGUCUACUACACCUGUUGUAUUCAGCAUUUCACUGUAAGGUCUACUACACCUGUUGUAUUCAGCAUUUCACUGUAAGGUCUACUACACCUGUUGUAUUCAGCAUUUCACUGUGAGGUCUACUACACCUGUUGUAUUCAGCAUUUCACUGUCAGGUCUACUACACCUGUUGUAUUCGGCAUUUCACUGUAAGGUCUACUACACCUGUUGUAUUCUGCAUUUCACUGUAAGGUCUACUACACCUGUUGUAU